GGGUGAAUGGCAGGGCAAUUCUCCCUUGGCGGAUUGAAAGUUUAAUUUAAAUGUUUGUGACGAAUUCUAGCAUCUUUCUCUCUUCUGCCAAAGGAGAAUUGCACUGUUAUUUAUCA
rnacentral:pre_miRNA from 1 species